rnacentral:rRNA from 1 species
UACGGGAGGCAGCAGUGGGGAAUAUUGCACAAUGGGCGCAAGUCUGAUGCAGCCAUGCCGCGUGUAUGAAGAAGGCCUUCGGGUUGUAAAGUACUUUCAGUCGUGAGGAAGGUGUUAAGGUUAAUAACCUUAGCAAUUGACGUUAGCGACAGAAGAAGCACCGGCUAACUCCGUGCCAGCAGCCGCGGUAAUACGGAGGGUGCGAGCGUUAAUCGGAAUUACUGGGCGUAAAGGGCACGCAGGCGGUUAAUUAAGUUGGAUGUGAAAUCCCCGGGCUUAACCUGGGAAUGGCAUUCAAGACUGGUUAGCUAGAGUCUUGUAGAGGGGGUAGAAUUCCAUGUGUAGCGGUGAAAUGCGUAGAGAUGUGGAGGAAUACCGGUGGCGAAGGCGGCCCCUGGACAAAGACUGACGCUCAUGUGCGAAAGCGUGGGGAGCAAACAGGGAUUAGAUACC